rnacentral:rRNA from 1 species
CCUACGGGGUGCAGCAGUGAGGAAUAUUGGUCAAUGGGCGCGAGCCUGAACCAGCCAAGUCGCGUGAGGGAAGACGGUCCUAUGGAUUGUAAACCUCUUUUGUCGGGGAGCAAAAGACGCCACGCGUGGCGUUCCGAGAGUACCCGAAGAAAAAGCAUCGGCUAACUCCGUGCCAGCAGCCGCGGUAAUACGGAGGAUGCGAGCGUUAUCCGGUUUUAUUGGGUUUAAAGGGUGCGGAGGCGGGAGAUCAAGUCAGCGGUAAAAUUGAGAGGCUCAACCUCUACGAGCCGUUGAAACUGGUGUUCUUGAGUGAGUGAGAAGUAGGCGGAAUGCGUGGUGUAGCGGUGAAAUGCAUAGAUAUCACGCAGAACUCCGAUUGCGAAGGCAGCAUACCGGCGCUCAACUGACGCUCAUGCACGAAAGUGUGGGUAUCGAACAGGAUUAGAUACCCGAGUAGUC